rnacentral:rRNA from 1 species
UGGGGAAUAUUGGACAAUGGGCGAAAGCCUGAUCCAGCCAUGCCGCGUGUGUGAAGAAGGUCUUCGGAUUGUAAAGCACUUUAAGUUGGGAGGAAGGGCAUUAACCUAAUACGUUAGUGUUUUGACGUUACCGACAGAAUAAGCACCGGCUAACUCUGUGCCAGCAGCCGCGGUAAUACAGAGGGUGCAAGCGUUAAUCGGAAUUACUGGGCGUAAAGCGCGCGUAGGUGGUUUGUUAAGUUGGAUGUGAAAUCCCCGGGCUUAACCUGGGAACUGCAUUCAAAACUGACUGACUAGAGUAUGGUAGAGGGUGGUGGAAUUUCCUGUGUAGCGGUGAAAUGCGUAGAUAUAGGAAGGAACACCAGUGGCGAAGGCGACCACCUGGACUAAUACUGACACUGAGGUGCGAAAGCGUGGGGAGCAAACA